AGUUAUUUAUUUUUAACUUACAGGUCGCAGUUUGCCAUAGGAAGUUUCGGGGGGAAUUCGCGGAGGCUGGGAGAAGCCAGGAGACUCUGAACUGAAGCUGUUUUCUGAAAGGCCAGCUGCAGGACGUUGUCUGACACAUCAAUAUGCCAGGAACUGUCAUCUGGAGAAAACCCAUCUGUCAAAAGCGCUGUCAGGUAAUGUUAAUCUCAAUUCUAUGAGAUCGCCAGGUAAAUUACACGGAUUUGAUACGAGAUAGAUCAUUACUGAGAACAGCUGUACUCGGAUACAGGUCAAAUAUGAGAAAUUCCCACAUGCGACAUCCAAACUCGAUACGCAGAAUGCUUUUGAGAACAAGGUUAAUCUACUCUUUAUUUAUUUAUCGAUCGGU